rfam:Rhabditophanes sp. KR3021 genome assembly, scaffold: RSKR_contig0000069
GACUUUGCGCUGGGGUGAUAACGUGAACUGUGAAGUUUAGCUGAGUUGCGUUUAUUGCUGGUUGAAAACUUUAACCAAUAGCCCGUCAUAAGUACCUUGGUAUCUUAUGGCAAUUUUUGGAAGGCCAAAAGGCC